GGUGAUAAUGGCGACGAGGAUCCACCUGUUCCCAUUCCGAACACAGAAGUUAAGCUCGUCUACGCCGAAAGUACUUGGCACAGAGCGCCCGGGAGGAUAGGAAAUUGC
rnacentral:rRNA from 1 species